CGGCGAACGGGUGAGUAACACAUCGGAACGUACCCAGAAGUGGGGGAUAGCCCGGCGAAAGCCGGAUUAAUACCGCGUACGAUCUACGGAUGAAAGUGGGGGACCUGUGAGGGCCUCACGCUUUUGGAGCGGCCGAUGUCCGAUUAGCUAGUUGGUGGGGUAAAGGCCUACCAAGGCGACGAUCGGUAGCUGGUCUGAGAGGAUGAUCAGCCACAUUGGGACUGAGACACGGCCCAG
rnacentral:rRNA from 1 species